AUUGAACGCUGGCGGCAUGCCUUACACAUGCAAGUCGAACGGCAGCACGGGGCAACCUGGUGGCGAGUGGCGAACGGGUGAGUAAUGCAUCGGAACGUACCCGGAAGUGGGGGAUAACGUAGCGAAAGUUACGCUAAUACCGCAUAUUCUGUGCGCAGGAAAGAGGGGGAUCUUCGGACCUCUUGCUUUCGGAGCGGCCGAUGUCAGAUUAGCUAGUUGGUGAGGUAAAGGCUCACCAAGGCGACGAUCUGUAGCGGGUCUGAGAGGAUGAUCCGCCACACGGGGACUGAGACACGGCUCAGACUCCUACGGGAGGCAGCAGUGGGGAAUUUUGGACAAUGGGCGCAAGCCUGAUCCAGCCAUGCCGCGUGAGUGAAGAAGGCCUUCGGGUUGUAAAGCUCUUUCGGCCGGGAAGAAAUCGCGUGAGUUAAUACCUGGCGUGGAUGACGGUACCGGAAUAAGAAGCACCGGCUAACUACGUGCCAGCCGCCGCAGUAACAC
rnacentral:rRNA from 1 species